UGACAACUUCCGUUACUUACGGCACAUUUUUGCAGGCAGAAAAAGUUGUUUUAGAGGAUACAUCAAGAACAGACCAGAUACCUCACAAGACAGAAAGUGUAUGUCUAGCAAAGCAUUCUAUGGUUGAAGCUCUAGUAUCAGGUUGUAAGUGUUUUGGUACAGACACAGAAGAGAGAAGGCGGCUAAAAAAACUGCAGUUCAGGUGUGAGUUGUUACAGUUUGAAGAAAAUGUGAUUGAAAAGUGAUUGUACUUUGUUCUGUAGGGAUGAAAAUCUGAUCUGAUACUUUGUUGUGGAAAGGGUAAAAUUCAUGUGGAACUCUGAAGAAGACAAAUACCAGAAACUUAGAGGGUUAGAAGUUAACAGUACAUGUUCAUAUUUCCAUGAGGCGAAAGGUUUGAGCUGCGAACACCAAAGCAAAAGCAUUCCAGAUUACAGGUCCAGAGUAUGAUAGGGAUUUGGGAAAGAAUUCCAUGCGUGGUUUGGGGACAGCCGGUUAGCAUUAUCUCUGGAUCUAAGUUCAAGCUCACAUGAAUUUUGCAGGGAAAUGUAUGAAGUUCAGUUGUAAUGGUAAUGAGAUGCAGGUCUUUGUCCUACAUGGUGAGCGAAACGGUAUAUGGCAUUUUUGGAAAACAUGUAAUAGAAGAUUUUGCUGACAUGGAGCUGGUGGACAUAGCUCAGAGUUGUGAGUCUGCUCUCAAGGCAUAUAAUAGCGAUUUGGUGGUUGAAUCCAUAGAAUAAGAGUGGAUCAGGUUUAAGAGGGAAAUUUACCACGGGUAAUAUCACUUAUGUACACACAUAUAUUUAUGAUAUAAAAUGAUAAUCCAGUAAAUCUUCAGCUGUAUUAUAAUAAUUAUGCCCCCUUCAAAGAAGGACAGAAUUAGACCAAUCUGUUUCUGGAUGAUAACUCAAGAACGCUUGGGCCUAGGAUCAUGAAAGUUGAUAGGGAGGUUGGUCAUUACCAGCAGAUGACCCCUUUUGAUUUUGAGGUCUGUAUGUCAAAGGUCAAGGUCACAGUGACCCUGAAUAGUAAAACAGUUUCCGGAUGGUGACUCAAGAACACUUGGGCCUAGGAUCAUGAAAGUUGAUAGGGAGGUUGGUCAUGUUCAGCAGAUGACUCCUAUUGAUUUUGAGAUUAGUAUGUCAAAGGUCAAGGUCACAGUGACCAGGAACAGUAAAAUGGUUUCCGGGCAAUAACUCAAGAACGCUUGAGCCUAGUGUCAGGAAAAUUGAUAGUAAGGUUGGCCAUGAUCAGCAGAUGACCCUGUUGAUUUUGAGGUCAUUAGCUUGAAGGUCAAGGUCACAUUGGCCAGGAACAAUUAAACGGUUUCUGAUCUUCUUGUCCAAAACCAUUGGCCAUAGGGCUUUG